ACUCAAAUGAAUUGACGGGGGCUCACACAAGCGGUGGAGUAUGUGGCUUAAUUCGAGGCUACGCGCAAAACCUUAUCCUGGGCUUGACAUGCACGGAUUAGCCGGCGGAAACGUCGGCGACGCCGCAAGGUGGAACGUGCACAGGUGCUGCAUGGCUGUCGUCAGCUCGUGCCGUGAGGUGUUGGGUUAAGUCCCGUAACGAGCGAAACCCUUGCCCCUAGUUGCCAGCACGUCAUGGUGGGGACUCUAGGGGGACCGCCGGCGUCAAGCCGGAGGAAGGCGGGGAUGACGUCAAGUCCUCAUGGCCCUUAUGCCCAGGGCUGCACACGUACUACAAUGGGCCGGACAGAGCGACGCCAGCCCGCGAGGGUGAGCUAAUCGCAGAAACCGGCCCUCAGUUCGGAUUGCGGGCUGCAACCCGCCCGCAUGAAGCUGGAAUCGCUAGUAAUCGCGGAUCAGCAUGCCGCGGUGAAUGGGUUCCUGAGCCUUGUACACACCGCCCGU
rnacentral:rRNA from 1 species